CGGCCACAAUCCCUGUGCUGAUACCAGAAACAAUAUCACUGAGCAACCAUUCUUUAAGCCGGUAUGCUGGCAACCAAGAUGCUAUGGGGAACAAAGAGAGGACAAUUCUCUUGGCCUUUUGUGGGGAACAGCUGAAAACAUGGAAAGCCACAGCAGGUUAAAAAUGCCUGAAACCAAACAGAGCUUGCUUCUUAAAUAACUCAGAGAUAAUGUGAUGCAAUUUACAGAUGAGUGAGCUCCGAACUGAAUGUUACCACCUUUUAAGAUCAAAAAAGGCAGGAUUAAGGGACCUAGAUUGCGUUUUGCGACAGCGAUGUUUUAUUCCAGUGAGCUGGACGUGGCUCUUUUAGACAAGCAAGGGUGCAGAACACUUCCCAGCCCCUCCGCAGUCACAUUAGAUGCCUCCACUCUUGGACAAGGCAGCUCCUAGCAGCAUCACCCCUUCAUAGCUGUUCAAGCUGAGGAAGGCCUUCGAUAGAGACAUCACUGAAAAUGCCAUACUGUGCCUGAAAUCUGCUGAAAACACAACUCACCUCAUGGAUCUCAAAAUAUCUCUGAGCCAGUCAGUGCAAAACCAGAGGU
rnacentral:lncRNA from 1 species